rnacentral:rRNA from 1 species
CCUCCCGCAAAAAUCAAUGUAUAGGAGGUCUCGCCUGCCCAGUGACAAGUUAAACGGCCGCGGUAUUUUGACCGUGCGAAGGUAGCGCAAUCACUUGUCUUUUAAAUGAAGACCUGUAUGAAUGGUAGAACGAGGGCUUAACUGUCUCCCUUUUUAAGUCAAUGAAAUUGAUCUGCCCGUGCAGAAGCGGACAUAAUAAUACAAGACGAGAAGACCCUUUGGAGCUUAAGACUUCAGAUCAACUAUGUCAAGAACUUAGACCAAGUUUAAACCAAAUAGCACCUGAUCCUAAUCUUCAGUUGGGGCGACCGCGGGAGAAAACAAAGCUCCCAUGAGGACUGGACCCACCUCCAGAACCAAGAAAGACAUCUCUAAGUCACAGAACCUCUGACCAUAAAGAUCCGGCCACCCGCCGACCAACGGACCAAGUUACCCUAGGGAUAACAGCGCAAUCCCCUUCUAGAGUCCAUAUCGACAAGGGGGUUUACGACCUCGAUGUUGGAUCAGGACAUCCUAAUGGUGCAGCCGCUAUUAAGGGUUCGUUUGUUCAACGAUUAAAGUC